rnacentral:rRNA from 1 species
CAGGCCUAACACAUGCAAGUCGAGCGAUGAAAUUCAAAGGAUUUCUUCGGAAUGAAAGUGAAUGGAUUAGCGGCGGACGGGUGAGUAACGCGUGGGCAACCUGCCUUAUACCGGAGGAUAGCUCCUGGAAACGGGUGGUAAUACUCUAUAAGCUUACGACAGGACAUCCUGAUGUAAGAAAAGUGAUUAGCGGUAUAAGAGGGGCCCGCGUCUGAUUAGAUAGUUGGUGGGGUAACGGCCUACCAAGUCGACGAUCAGUAGCCGACCUGAGAGGGUGAUCGGCCACAUUGGAACUGAGACACGGUCCAGACUCCUACGGGAGGCAGCAGUGGGGAAUAUUGCACAAUGGGGGAAACCCUGAUGCAGCAACGCCGCGUGAAAGAAGAAGUAUUUCGGUAUGUAAACUUCUAUCAGCAGGGAAGAAUAAAAUGACGGUACCUGACUAAGAAGAACCGGCUAAAUACGUGCCAGCAGCCGCGGUAAUACGUAUGGUUCAAGCGUUAUCCGGAUUUACUGGGUGUAAAGGGUGAGUAAGCGGUUAUGCAAGUCACAUGUGAAAUGUCGGGGCUCAACUCCGGCCUGCAUGAGAAACUGUAUAACUAGAGUGC